rnacentral:rRNA from 1 species
UACUUAGGAAUCUACCUAGUAGUGGGGGAUAGCACGGGGAAACUCGUAUUAAUACCGCAUACGACCUACGGGAGAAAGGGGGCAGUUUACUGCUCUCGCUAUUAGAUGAGCCUAAGUCGGAUUAGCUAGAUGGUGGGGUAAAGGCCUACCAUGGCGACGAUCUGUAGCUGGUCUGAGAGGAUGAUCAGCCACACCGGGACUGAGACACGGCCCGGACUCCUACGGGAGGCAGCAGUGGGGAAUAUUGGACAAUGGGGGAAACCCUGAUCCAGCCAUGCCGCGUGUGUGAAGAAGGCCUUUUGGUUGUAAAGCACUUUAAGCAGUGAAGAAGACUCCAUGGUUAAUACCCAUGGACGAUGACAUUAGCUGCAGAAUAAGCACCGGCUAACUCUGUGCCAGCAGCCGCGGUAAUACAGAGGGUGCAAGCGUUAAUCGGAAUUACUGGGCGUAAAGGGAGCGUAGGUGGCUCUAUAAGUCAGAUGUGAAAUCCCCGGGCUUAACCUGGGAACUGCAUCUGAAACUGUAGAGCUAGAGUAUGUGAGAGGAAGGUAGAAUUCCAGGUGUAGCGGUGAAAUGCGUAGAGAUCUGGAGGAAUACCGAUGGCGAAGGCAGCCUUCUGGCAUAAUACUGACACUGAGGCUCGAAAGCGUGGGUAGCAAACAGGAUUAGAUACCCUGGUAGUCCACGCCGUAAACGAUGUCUACUAGUCGUUGGGUCCCUUGAGGACUUAGUGACGCAGCUAACGCAAUAAGUAGACCGCCUGGGGAGUACGGCCGCAAGGUUAAAACUCAAAUGAAUUGACGGGGGCCCGCACAAGCGGUGGAGCAUGUGGUUUAAUUCGAUGCAACGCGAAGAACCUUACCUGGUCUUGACAUAUCUAGAAUCCUGCAGAGAUGCGGGAGUGCCUUCGGGAAUUAGAAUACAGGUGCUGCAUGGCUGUCGUCAGCUCGUGUCGUGAGAUGUUGGGUUAAGUCCCGCAACGAGCGCAACCCUUGUCCUUAGUUACCAGCGGGUUAAGCCGGGAACUCUAAGGAUACUGCCAGUGACAAACUGGAGGAAGGCGGGGACGACGUCAAGUCAUCAUGGCCCUUACGACCAGGGCUACACACGUGCUACAAUGGUAGGUACAGAGGGCAGCUACACAGCGAUGUGAUGCGAAUCUCAAAAAGCCUAUCGUAGUCCAGAUUGGAGUCUGCAACUCGACUCCAUGAAGUAGGAAUCGCUAGUAAUCGCGGAUCAGAAUGCCGCGGUGAAUACGUUCCCGGGCCUUGUACACACC